CUUAUUGGACGGGAGAUCACUCGGCUUGUCAGUCGAUGAAGAGCGUGGCUAUCCACAUGAACUGACGUGAAUUGCAGGACUCAGUGAACAUCGACACCUUGAACGCACAUUGCGGCCCCAGGAUCCCAUCGUCCCGGGGCCCCAUCCGGUCGAGAGUCU
rnacentral:rRNA from 1 species